rnacentral:rRNA from 1 species
AACGAACGCUGGCGGCAUGCCUAACACAUGCAAGUCGAACGAAACCUUCGGGUCUAGUGGCGCACGGGUGCGUAACGCGUGGGAACCUGCCCUUAGGUUCGGAAUAACUCCCCGACAGGGGUGCUAAUACCGGAUAAUGUCUUCGGACCAAAGAUUUAUCGCCCUUGGUUGGGCCCGCGUUGGAUUAGCUAGUUGUUAGGGUAAAAGCCUACCAAGGCGACGAUCCAUAGCUGGUCUGAGAGGAUGAUCAGCCACACUGGGACUGAGACACGGCCCAGACUCCUACGCGAGGCAGCAGUGGGGAAUAUUGGAAAAUGGGCGAAAGCCUGAUCCAGCAAUGCCGCGUGAGUGAUGAAGGCCUUAGGGUUGUAAAGCUCUUUUACCCGGGAUGAUAAUGACAGUACCGGGAGAAUAAGCUCCGGCUAACUCCGUG